rnacentral:rRNA from 1 species
GACGAACGCUGGCGGCGUGCUUAACACAUGCGAGUCGAACGAUGAAGAAGAGAAACGCGAACUUCGGUUCAAAUUUCACUUCGGAUUAGUGGCAGACGGGUGAGUAACGCGUGAGCAACCUACCUCUUACAAAGGGAUAGCCUCGGGAAACCGUGAUUAAUACCAUAUGACACAUUCAUAAGGCAUCUUAAGAAUGUUAAAGCUACGGCGGUAAGAGAUGGGCUCGCGUCCCAUUAGCUAGUUGGUGAGGUAACGGCCCACCAAGGCGACGAUGGGUAACCGGCCUGAGAGGGUGAACGGUCACAUUGGAACUGUGACACGGUCCAAACUCCUACGGGAGGCAGCAGUGGGGAAUAUUGCACAAUGGAGGGAACUCUGAUGCAGCGACGCCGCGUGAGCGAUGAAGGAAUUCGUUUCGUAAAGCUCUGUUCUAUGGGAAGAAAAGGACUGUACCAUAGGAGAAAGCCCCGGCUAAAUACGUG